UACAGAGGUCUCAAGCGUUGUCCGGAAUCACUGGGCGUAAAGGGCGCGUAGGUGGCGCGGCAAGUCAGCGGUGAAAGCCCGAGGCUCAACUUCGGGUCGGCCGUUGAUACUGCUGUGCUUGAGCACUGUAGAGGCAGGUGGAAUUCCGGGUGUAGCGGUGGAAUGCGUAGAGAUCCGGAAGAACACCGGUGGCGAAGGCGGCCUGCUGGGCAGUUGCUGACACUGAGGCGCGGACAGCGUGGGGAGCAAACAGG
rnacentral:rRNA from 1 species